rnacentral:rRNA from 1 species
GAUGAACGCUGGCGGCGUGCCUAAUACAUGCAAGUCGAGCGAACAGACGAGGAGCUUGCUCCUCUGACGUUAGCGGCGGACGGGUGAGUAACACGUGGAUAACCUACCUAUAAGACUGGGAUAACUUCGGGAAACCGGAGCUAAUACCGGAUAAUAUAUUGAACCGCAUGGUUCAAUAGUGAAAGACGGUUUUGCUGUCACUUAUAGAUGGAUCCGCGCCGCAUUAGCUAGUUGGUAAGGUAACGGCUUACCAAGGCAACGAUGCGUAGCCGACCUGAGAGGGUGAUCGGCCACACUGGAACUGAGACACGGUCCUGACUCCUACGGGAGGCAGCAGUUGGGAAUCUUCCGCAAUGGGCGAAAGCCUGACGGAGCAACGCCGCGUGAGUGAUGAAGGUCUUCGGAUCGUAAAACUCUGUUAUUAGGGAAGAACAAAUGUGUAAGUAACUAUGCACGUCUUGACGGUACCUAAUCAGAAAGCCACGGCUAACUACGUG